rnacentral:rRNA from 1 species
GGUCAGGAUGAACGCUAGCUACAGGCUUAACACAUGCAAGUCGAGGGGCAGCAGGACGAUAGCUUGCUAUGUUGCUGGCGACCGGCGCACGGGUGAGUAACGCGUAUCCAACCUUCCCCUUAGUAGGGCAUAGCCCGGUGAAAAUCGGAUUAAUACCCUAUGUUGUGUCAUGAGGACAUCUGAAUAACACUAAAGAUUUAUCGCUAAGGGAUGGGGAUGCGUCCGAUUAGGUAGUCGGCGGGGUAACGGCCCACCGAGCCCUCGAUCGGUAGGGGUUCUGAGAGGAAGGUCCCCCACACUGGUACUGAGACACGGACCAGACUCCUACGGGAGGCAGCAGUGAGGAAUAUUGGUCAAUGGGCGUAAGCCUGAACCAGCCAAGUAGCGUGCAGGAUGACGGCCCUAUGGGUUGUAAACUGCUUUUAUACGGGGAUAAAGUGAGGGACGUGUCCCUUAUUGUAGGUACCGUAUGAAUAAGGACCGGCUAAUUCCGUGCCAGCAGCCGC